rnacentral:tRNA from 1 species
AAUAAGGUGGCUGAUAAAAGCAGAAAACUGUAAAUUUUCUUAUGAGUAUUUACUCC